AUUGAACGCUGGCGGAAUGCUUUACACAUGCAAGUCGAGCGGCAGCGCGGGGCAACCUGGCGGCGAGCGGCGAACGGGUGAGUAACAUAUGGGAACGUACCCAUUGGUGGGGGAUAACACAUCGAAAGAUGUGCUAAUACCGCAUACGACCUGAGGGAGAAAGGGGGGGAUCGCAAGGCCUCUCGCCGUUGGAGCGCCCGAGAUACGGAUUAGCUAGUUGGUGGGGUAAAGGCACACCAAGGCGACGAUCCGUAGCUGGUCUGAGAGGACGACCAGCCACACUGGGACUGAGACACGGCCCAGACUCCUACGCGAGGCAGCAGUGGGGAAUUUUGGACAAUGGGGGCAAGCCUGAUCCAGCCAUUCCGCGUGAGUGAAGAAGGCCUUCGGGUUGUAAAGCUCUUUCAGCAGGAACGAAACGGUGUGGGUUAAUACCCUGCAUCAAUGACGGUACCUGAAGAAGAAGCACCGGCUAACUACGUGCCAGCAGCCGCCGUAA
rnacentral:rRNA from 1 species